AUGUUUCUCUAUCUCCCUGCGACUGUCCCUAUGUCUCUGGGUCUCUAUCUUUCUCUGUCUCUGUUUCUGUCCGUCUCCGUGUCUUUCUGUUGUUUAUCUCUUCUCCGUUCAUCUCUCAGUCCCCUUCACAUUCUCGUUGUCUCUCAGCUUUUCCAUCUCCCUUUCUGUCUGUUUCUCUCUUCUGUCUCUGUGUCUCCAUGUUUGUCUUUGUCUCUGUCUUUGCCUCUCUUUCUCUGCGUCUCUAUCUCCAUCCUAUCUCUGUCUCUGUUUCUGUCCGUCUCCGUGUCUUUCUGUUGUUUAUCUCUUCUCCGUUCAUCUCUCAGUCCCCUUCACAUUCUCGUUGUCUCUCAGCUUUUCCAUCUCCCUUUCUGUCUGUUUCUCUCUUCUGUCUCUGUGUCUCCAUGUUUGUCUUUGUCUCUGUCUUUGCCUCUCUUUCUCUGCGUCUCUAUCUUUCUCUGUCUCUGUUUCUGUCCGUCUCCGUGUCUUUCUGUUGUUUAUCUCUUCUCCGUUCAUCUCUCCGUCUCCUUUUCUGUCUCCUUCACAUUCUCGUUGUCUCUCAGCUUUUCCAUCUCCCUUUCUGUCUGUUUCUCUCUUCUGUCUCUGUGUCUCCAUGUUUGUCUUUGUCUCUGUCUUUGCCUCUCUUUCUCUGCGUCUCUAUCUUUCUCUGUCUCUGUUUCUCUCUGUCUCCCUGUCUUUCUGUUUUUUAUCUCUUCUCCGUUCAUCUCUCAGUCUCCUUUUCUGUCUCCUUCACAUUCUCGUUGUCUCUCAGCUUUUCUAUCUCCCUUUUUGUCUUUCUCUCUUCUGUCUCUGUGUCUCCAUGUUUGUCUUUGUCUCUGUCUUUGCCUCUCUUUCUCUGCGUCUCUAUCUUUCUCUGUCUCUGUUUCUGUCCGUCUCCGUGUCUUUCUGUUUUUUAUCUCUUUUCCAUUCAUCUCUCAGUCCCCUUCACAUUCUCGUUGUCUCUCAGCUUUUCUAUCUCCCUUUUUGUCUGUUUCUCUCUUCUGUCUCUGUGUCUCCAUAUUUGUCUUUGUUUCUAUCUUUGCCUCUCUUUCUCUGGGUCUCUAUCUUUCUUUGCCUCCCUGUUUCGCUCACUGUCUUUCUUACAUUCUCUUUGUGUAUCUCUUUGUCUUUCAUUUUCCCUCCCUCUCUUUUCUUCUCUCUUUCACAUUCUCUGUGGGUCUCUUUCUCUCCGAGUCCUUUUAG
rnacentral:lncRNA from 1 species